AGCUUGAAAAGGGCUAUUUGCUGAAACUGAUGUUUUACAGGGAGACAGAUGAUGUGCCCUGCCCAUCUUUGACACCAGUGAAGAAUUCAGGGACUGAAACCAAUGACAACAUGGAGGGAGCAAUAAACCAUAGGAUGAUGGUACAACAGAGUGCAAACAGGAA